rnacentral:rRNA from 1 species
AUUGAACGCUGGCGGCAGGCUUAACACAUGCAAGUCGAGCGAGCGGCGGACGGGUGAGUUAUGUCUGGGAAACUGCCUGAUGGAGGGGGAUAACUACCGGAAACGAUUGCUAAAACCGCAUACCAUCAGAUGUGCCCAGAUGGGAUGAGCUAGUAGGUGGGGGAAAGGCUCACCUAGGCGACGAUCCGUAGCUGGUCUGAGAGGAUGACCAGCCACACGGGAACUGAGACACGGUCCAGACGCCUACGGGAGGCAGCAGUGGGGAAUAUUGCACAAUGGGCGCAAGCCUGAUGCAGCCAUGCCGAGUGUGUGAAGAAGGCCUUCGGGUUGGAAAGCACUUUCAGCUGGGAGGCGUUACUCGCAGAAGAAGCACCGGCUAACUCCGUGCCAGCAGCCGCGGUAAUUC